AUAUGCCAUGUGAAGACGCAGGGAGAAUGUGACAUCUGCAAGCCAAGGAGAGAGGCUGCAGGAGAAACCAGCUCUGCUGACACUUUGAUCUCAAGCUCUGGCCACCAGAACUGUGAGCAAAUAAGUGUCUGUUGUUUAGGGCACCCUGUCCAUGGCACCUUGCUCCGAUAGCCCCAGGAAACGAAUCCACAGCACAGGUUUGUGCUCAGAAGCCCCUACACCAGCUGCUGCGUGAUGGAGAACAGGAGUCAAAGCACGGAGGCCGGCAGAAAAUCAAGAGGCCGGUCCUGUGCAUGGGCAAGAGGCCUCAGGGAUAUAUUAGCUGAGGAGGAAGCCGAGGUUGGGAAAGGUGGAGGGACUUGCCCAAGUCACACAAACGACAACUCAGCAGAGCUGAGAAUUGGCACCCAGGGCAACUGGAGUCCAUCCUGAGCUUGUCACUGCUGGGCUCUGAGACCUCCUGGUGAAGAAGGACAGUGGCAGAGACAGCCCGACCCAGAGAAACCCAGCAACGCUACUUUCUAAGGGCAUUUUUCCCUCUCAUUUGGAAUCCUGAGCCUCCUGCUCGUCCUGUAGGCCACACCCAGCAAACAGGUGGGUUUCAUUUCCUGGAGAAACCACAGAUGGAAAGUCCCAGCCAUGGGCUCCGUGUGACCUGGUGGCCUUAAGAAGCUCCCCCCACCGCCCCUCAGCCCUUUAAUCAUUUACAAAGCAGGGCCACACAGAGCAUCUAUUUUCUUUCUGGAACAUCAGAGCUGGCUGGGAACUGGGAGAAGAGCUGGAGCAACAGCCUGCAUCCAUUUCCUCUUGCUGCAAUAACAACUGAUCACAAGAUGGAGUCUCACUCUGUCAACCAGGCUGGAGUGCACUGGCGCAAUCUCGGCUCACUGCAGUCACCUCCUCUCAGGUUCAAGUGAUUCUCCUGCCUCUGCCUCCUGAGUAGCUGGGAUUACAGGUGCAUGCCACCACGCUCUGCUAAUUUUUGUAUUUUUAGUAGAGACGGGGUUUCACCGUGUUGGCCAGGCUGGUCUGGAACUCCUGACCUCAGGUGAUCCGGCUGCCUCAGCCUCCCAAAGUACUGGGAUUACAGGCAUGAGCCACCACACCUUGCCACAAAUGUGGUUUUUAAAUGUGGUUUUUAAAAAUAUCUUGAUAGCCAUAUUUCCAGUGACUCGGUUUCCUGUGUAAUCCUACGUAUUUGUUAUGCAUGUACAAAGAAGACAGGGCAUGAAGGUGUCACCAGAUGCCACAGCAGCCCACAGCACAGAAAAGGUCACAACCACCUACUUCAGAGAAAGGCACUGGGGACCUUGGCUAUGUGGACAAGAACCAGGAGCUUGGGCUUCCCAGGCACAGCAGGGAAGCCUGCAGGGGCCUGACAGGUGGAUAACCUAGUGCCCAAGGCAGGGCUGGGUGGAGGAGAGAGUGGCACCCUCUGAUUGUCUGAGGUCUCUAUCUCUAGAGGACAGUACCACAGAUUGGAAGCCAGGUCUUUCCAGAGUCCCUGUGACCUCCUCUUUCUGCAUGAAACCCAGAUUGAGUAGGAAAAUGUCCCCAGGAGGAAGCAGCCACUGCCCAAGGGAGACAGCUAGAGACUCGCUGGGCAGGCUACAUCCCUGGGCUUCUCUCGGACCCGACAAGAGCCUGUCCAUCCCUUCACCUCCACUAAGAUCAGGGCACCCCAGGAGUCUCGGCAGGGCCACCCCAGGCUCUGCUCUGCCCUGGAAAGGUCCUCGUUUCACACUGACUCAGUUUCAGUUUUGGAAGGAGGUCAGAGGUUGCCUCCAUGUCCCUUCUCCCCACUGGUUCUCUGGAACCCUCCAUCAUAGAUGUCCCUGCCCUUCCUUCCCUGCUCAGGAGCAAAACCCCCAACCCCCAGGAGCUGGUCUCUCUAAGUCCUCUUGGAUCAGGCCAGGCUCAGCCCUGGAGGCCACAGCUCAGGCCCUGAGCCAGCCCAAGGGGCAGGGCGAGGAACCUACAUUGUUGUGUGCCCAGCCCCUUUAAGGGGCCCAUACGGACAAGAGCAAAUUCAGUAGGUUGCGUCAUCCACUCUAUAGUGAUUAAACAGGGAUGGUGGAGAAGUAGAGAAGUGUCAGCUCUGGAACCAGGUGGCCCUAGAUUGAAAUCCUAGCUCUGCUAUUUACCAGCCAGGUGGCCUUGGAUAGGUGAUUUGACCAAUACCGUUCCUCCGUUUCCCCACCUUGAGUGUUAUUGCAAGGAUUAAAUGAGUUACUACAAAGUAAAGUACUAAAUACAUAUCAGCUAUUAUUAUUAUUACUACUACUAUUAUUAUUAUGAGCCAGGAGAUGGGGACUGUGACAUAGGCUGCUGGUCUCUUCUCUCCUCUUCCAUAAGAAUAGUUCACCCCAUCCUUAGCUGGGUGUAUGGCCACCUGGCCCAAAACUACAUUUCCCAGCAUCCCUUGCUGCUAGAUGUGACCAUGUGAUCAAGUUCUGGCCAAUGAGAUGCCAGGAGAAGUGGUUUGGCCCACUUCCUGGGAGUUUUCUUUAAAGGACAGGGGCAAUGCCUUCUCCUUUUCUUCUCCUUUCUGCUGACCAGAAUGUGAGCAUGGAGUCUGGAGCAGGAGCAGCUGUUGUGCACUGUGAGGUUGAAGCCGUGUGUUGAGAAUAGCAGAGCAACAAAGCAAUAGGAGCUGGAGCCCCUAGGGGCCAUGAAGCCCCUACCAGCCCUGGACUGCUUAGAUUUACUUGAGCAAGAAAUAAACCCUUGAUUGUUUAAA